UGUUUUUCAAAUGUACUUUGGUGCAUAGACGUCAUCUCAAUAAAAUUUAAAUUUUCUUUUAUUAGAGAACAAACAAGCUAUUAAUAGUUAAAUUUAUAAACAGAGAACUUCAAAAUUAAAGUAAGGGAGUUCUAUUACAAUUAAAAUCCAUUUACUAAUAUAUCUAUAUUGAUGACUGUUUAUACAUAGCAACACAGCUUGUUAAAAGUAAAAUAUAAGAUCUGAAGUUCAAAGUAUAGAAAAGUGGAAAAAGCAAGAAACCAACAGAUGCACCACAAAUAUAUAAGGAAAAUUGAAAAAAUGUCAACCUAUAGAAUGUAUCAAAAGAAGAAGGAGAAAAAGAGAUAUAUUUAACAUAUAUACUUCUGUGGUUGCAAAAAGAAAAACAUGUUGUUACCAAAUAAAAGAGAUGAAAGAUAUCAAAAUGAAACCAAGAAAACCAAAUAUUAAGAGAGAGAGAUAUAAUUGGUAAACCCAAAUGUAAAAUUAGUCAUGGGUCCAAGUAAUUAAUUCCCAUUAAUUUCAUUUCAGUAACUUAACAAACAAUAUUCAAUAUAUAUCUCCAAAAUUUUCAUUCCCAUGCAAAAGAGUGAAACAAGAUAAUGCAACUUUUACCACAUAAUUAAAAGCAAAUGGGGAAAGUAUAUGUAAUCAAUUUAUAUUCUAUUACCAUAUACGAUUCUAUUAAAACUAGUAAAAGUUGUUCUGCACCAUUAUCACCUUCAUUUUCUUAAAAUAAUGCUCAUUUUUGCUUACAAUCCAACCAAGCUACAAUUUUUGUACUAACAAAAUUUAAUAAGUUUUCUUCUACAGAAAAAAAACAUCAUAUUAUUAAUCUUAUAGUUCGUCAUGUAUUGUCCUCAAUGUCAACCUAGUUGAGAAGACUUGGUGCCCGAUCAAGUAUCUUUUCUAAGAACGUUUGACUCUUUUUCCUUUAGGACUAUUGUGAUCCAAAAAAAACGAAAAGAAAAGAAAAAACUAAUAAUUUUUUUUUUUGGUCUUUUUCAACUUUAAACUUGCUAAUUCUAUGUUUGAAGAACAAAGUUAAAAAAUGAAGGUACUUAAGGAGGAUAGCCUGUGAACUAUUACUAUAGCUAGGUUACAACACUCAAUAUCAUUAAUUAGCUACACUUAUACCUUAAGCAUAAUUAGUCUUGCAACAACAAUCCAAGAAUUGUAUUUUUCAAUGACCAAAUUAAACAAAGAUAUAUGACAAAAUUAUUGCCUAGUUAGUCUAUAUCCUCUCCUUUAUAAGAACCUCCACAUUUCAUAAUUAUUCUCACACAUCCUAAACAAAGCAUUCUCUCAAUCUCUAAAUUUCCUCAUUUUUCUACAAACAAUGGAGAACAAGGGUAUGAGCACCUCCAUAAUGAAGAUAUCACUUACAUUAUUCCUAGUAAGCAUGGCCAUUUUGGCACCAUCAGCCACGGCUCGGAUGGAGGCAGCAGCACCUAGUCCAUUAGCACUAGAAGAUCUAUCUUUCUCUAACUGCACACCAUUUAUUUUAGAGGCAACAAUGUGUGUAGUAGGCGUGAUAAAAUUCCCGGUUGCUCCUCAUCCUUCGUGUUGCAAAGCUAUUUCUGAUCUCGACGAUUGUUCUCCGGAAACUUACGAACAUAUUCCUGGCAUGGACAUUAUUAAAAAAAUUUGUAGUCUGUGAAGCACUUUCUAUCUUGACAAUCAAAAGAUUCUUCAAGCAAAUUGAACCAUUUUGAAUAAGAAAGUUAUGUUUAUGUGAUUGUGAGUUUUCUUUUUUCCUACAGUACUAUUACAGUACCAUCUAUAAAACUUAAUAAAACAUACAUCUUUAACAAGAUUUAGAGUGUACUUGAAAAUCUCUGCAUAAUCAACAACACUAAAAUCUUCAUAGCCAAUUUAGUUUUAGUACUACAUACACAAAAGAUUUAAGAAACAGAAUUAUAGUCUAUGCAUAACAAUCUAAACUUUCUUACAAGUUUCCAGAUUUCCAGAUUUUCUGUUUUCUAGCAAUAGAGAAAAAAAAGAGUCAAACCAUUUGUUUUCAGGAUUUGUAGAGCAUCAAACUGAUAGAACUAAGUCAUGCACAGCGGAAAAAGAAUCGAAUUUCUACCCUAAUUGCCACAAUUAACAUGUAACCAUAAACUAAUCAAAUUAGGGUUUUAAGAAGUAUUACCUUUGAAGCUUUCAAAAGGUUUGAUGUCUUCUUACCAAUUCUACCCGAGACCACCACUAGUACUCAACUGCUAUCCUCUAGACAAAGAACCGGGUUGUGGGACCCAAUUUUGAUGUAGAAAGUAAUGGAGAUAAAAUGAGAUUGGAAGCUUUCUUUUUUCUUUUGUUGAGAUGAUGAAAAUGAUAAAAGAGGCAAAAGUCCUUCAACAUUUGAAAACAUCUCUAUUUAUAGCCUAAUUACAUGCAAAAAUGCAUGCAAUUCAAUUGCCAAAUC
rnacentral:lncRNA from 1 species